rnacentral:pre_miRNA from 1 species
AAUAAGUGCAGUUUUUGCACUGUUCAUAUCCAACGUUUGACCGUCCGCGUCCGUCUUAUUUAAAAAAAAAUUAUUUGUAAAACUUACUUUAUAUGUGCCUUUUUUUUUAAUUUUUUUAUAAUUUUUUUAAAUAAGAUGGAUGGUCAAAUGUUGAACACGAAUAUCCAUGACUACAUUUAUU